UUCUAGCCCCGAUUGCAGUGGAAAUCCUUUUUUGAAAAAAAAGAUUGCAACGGAAAGCGGGAAAUAGC
rnacentral:sRNA from 1 species